AUUGAACGCUGGCGGCAGGCCUAACACAUGCAAGUCGAGCGGAUGAAGGGAGCUUGCUCCUGGAUUCAGCGGCGGACGGGUGAGUAAUGCCUAGGAAUCUGCCUGGUAGUGGGGGAUAACAUCCGGAACCGGGCGCUAAUACCGCAUACGUCCUGAGGGAGAAAGUGGGGGAUCUUCGGACCUCACGCUAUCAGAUGACCCUAGGUCGGAUUAGCUAGUUGGUGGGGUAAAGGCCUACCAAGGCGACGAUCCGUAACUGGUCUGAGAGGAUGAUCAGUCACACUGGAACUGAGACACGGUCCAGACUCCUACGGGAGGCAGCAGUGGGGAAUAUUGGACAAUGGGCGAAAGCCUGAUCCAGCCAUGCCGCGUGUGUGAAGAAGGUCUUCGGAUUGUAAAGCACUUUUAGUUGGGAGGAAGGGCAGUAAGUUAAUACCUUGCUGUAUUGACGUUACCAACAGAAUAAGCACCGGCUAACUUCGUG
rnacentral:rRNA from 1 species